rnacentral:pre_miRNA from 1 species
GUAGUGGUCCCUCUGUCCCAAAAUUCUUGUCUUACAUUUGUUUAGAUACGGAUGUAUCUAACACUAAAAUGUAACUAGAUACAUCCGUAUUUAGACAAAUUUAAGAAAAGAAUUUUGGGACGGAGGGAGUACAAA